AGUGAACGCUGGCGGUAGGCCUAACACAUGCAAGUCGAACGGCAGCACAGUAAGAGCUUGCUCUUACGGGUGGCGAGUGGCGGACGGGUGAGGAAUACAUCGGAAUCUACUUUUUGGUGGGGGAUAACGUAGGGAAACUUACGCUAAUACCGCAUACGACCUACGGGUGAAAGCAGGGGAUCUUCGGACCUUGCGCGAUUGAAUGAGCCGAUGUCGGAUUAGCUAGUUGGCGGGGUAAAGGCCCACCAAGGCGACGAUCCGUAGCUGGUCUGAGAGGAUGGUCAGCGACACUGGAGCGGAGACAGCCUCCAUACUCCUACGGGAGGCAGCAGUCGGGAAUGGGAGGCAGUGGGCGCAAGCCUGAUCCAAUCAGACCGCGUGGGUGAAGAAGACGUUGGGGUUGUAAAGCCCUUUUGUUGGGAAUGAAAAGCUGCAGGUUAAGACGCCGCGGGUCUGACGGUACUCAAAGAAUAAGCACCGGCUAACUACGUG
rnacentral:rRNA from 1 species